GACGGAGGGUGCUAGCGUUGUUCGGAAUCACUGGGCGUAAAGGGCGCGUAGGCGGCCUUCUAAGUCGAACGUGAAAUCCCCGGGCUCAACCCGGGAACUGCGUCCGAUACUGGAAGGCUUGAAUCCGGGAGAGGGAUGCGGAAUUCCAGGUGUAGCGGUGAAAUGCGUAGAUAUCUGGAGGAACACCGGUGGCGAAGGCGGCAUCCUGGACCGGCAUUGACGCUGAGGCGCGAAAGCCAGGGGAGCAAACGGG
rnacentral:rRNA from 1 species